AGAUUUGGUUUAAUGAAAGAGAAACAAGUUCUGAUCUUCAGGAAGAAUUCAACAAUGAAUAAGGAAUGGGAAAACCUAAGUAGGAAAAAAAUACAGUGGACAUGGUGAUGACUCCCCUUGUAUGGAAUUACGGUCUGGAUCUGCUUUGGAUGAGGCUGCAUGUCUUCUAAAGGAAUGAAGAAGCAUCAUAUGAAAAUAGACUCAACUUUCUGGAUAUGCUUUGAUGCCCUUCCCAUUGGGGAAUGCUUUGACUGAGGAGUAAGCAAACCCAUAUCAAUUGGGAAAAAGGAAGCAACUCCCUGUUCAGGAAGUUUUCUGGGAAUUAUAUUAUGUUCAGUUAGAAUCAUACAAGACAUGCAGUCCUGAAAAGAUGUCACUGGGAAAUGCCUCUUUGCUACUGUGAACCAGCUUCUGGUAUCCCUCAAGGAUCUAUAGUGUUCCUGAAGUUAUUUUACAUCUACAUGACACUACUAGGAUAGUCCAUCAAGGGCUAUGAGGCUGAAUAUCACCUAUAUGGAAUAACACUCAGCAGUGUAUUCCCACCAAUAUUCACUCAGCAAUAUACUGCAUACCCACAAUUAUUCCCAAUUUAAUUAAAUUGAGAGUAAAGCAAGAUAGGAAUCCUCUUUCUUACAGUAAAGAUUGAUUUAUACCUAACUUUAUUGCAUUCCUUUAAUUUCCAUGUGGGCUUGCAUGCUAAUCCCUUAAAUUAUAUCCAAAGGGCAACUACUACAGUAUUGCUAGUAUUUAACAUUGGUUCUUAUUUCAACUAAAUAUCAAAUUGCACCGGGUCCUACAACAAUGAUGAACAUAAACUGAAUGUGGAAAAGCAAGGUCUAGCAACCACAUGUAGGUUAGGCCACUCUCUCAAAGACCCAUUAGAUCACACAGAUUAGGCCUCCUCC